AGAGAUGGUAGACUAUGGAACGUAGGCUGUAUGAUUUUUGACCUAUGUAACAUGGUCCACUAACUCU
rfam:Myotis davidii contig131788, whole genome shotgun sequence.